GAGGACCAAAGAACAGGUUGAGCACAGAGGAUUUUUAGGGCAGUGAAGAUACUCUGUAUGAUACCAUAAUGGUGUAUACAUGUCAUUAUAGCUUUGUCCAAACCCAUAGAAUCCACAACACC